rnacentral:lncRNA from 1 species
UCUCGUUAUAAACAUAAUUUGACAAAAGGUUUUGAAACACACAACCAUACUAACCUCCCCUUGAUUUAUUCUGUAAAUUCUACACUACACAGGUACUCUGUAAAAGGGAUCCACCAUUCCAAGUAUAAAAAGAUUCCCUUGAUUUCCCCGUGAUAUUCUGCAGCCAACGACAGGUAAGAGAUGAAUGUAACAAAUGCUACAUCAGACAUCACAUAUUUUCUUACCGCAGCUCCUCAUCCAAGUACGUGAUUUCAAGCUGACCACGCCCGCUUCCACGUGCCUUAAUAGGUAUCUGCGCUUGCAUUGUCA